rnacentral:rRNA from 1 species
GACGAACGCUGGCGGCGUGCCUAAUACAUGCAAGUUGAGCGAUGAAGCUUGGUGCUUGCCCCAAUUUGAAGAGCAGCGAACGGGUGAGUAACGCGUGGGGAAUCUGCCUUUGAGCGGGGGACAACAUUUGGAAACGAAUGCUAAUACCGCAUAACAACUUUAAACAUAAGUUUUAAGUUUGAAAGAUGCAAUUGCAUCACUCAAAGAUGAUCCCGCGUUGUAUUAGCUAGUUGGUGAGGUAAAGGCUCACCAAGGCGAUGAUACAUAGCCGACCUGAGAGGGUGAUCGGCCACAUUGGGACUGAGACACGGCCCAAACUCCUACGGGAGGCAGCAGUAGGGAAUCUUCGGCAAUGGACGAAAGUCUGACCGAGCAACGCCGCGUGAGUGAAGAGGGUUUUCGGAUCGUAAAACUCUGUUGGUAGAGAAGAACGUUGGUGAGAGUGGAAAGCUCAUCAAGUGACGGUAACUACCCAGAAAGGGACGGCUAACUACGUG